rnacentral:rRNA from 1 species
UGGGAUUAGAUACCCCACUAUGCCUAGCCGUAAAACAUUAACCCACAUCAUAAACCGCCAGGGAAUUACGAGCCCAAGCUUAAAACCCAAAGGACUUGACGGUGCCCCACCCACCUAGAGGAGCCUGUUCUAUAAUCGAUUUUCCCCGAUACACCUCACCACUUCUAGCCUCUCAGCCUGUAUACCUCCGUCGUAAGCUUACCAUAUGAACGUUGAACUAGUGAGCUAAAAGAUUUACCAUCAACACGUCAGGUCAAGGUGCAGCCCACGAAGUGGCAAGCAAUGGGCUACAGUUUCUAACUUAGAACAGACGAAAGACUACAUGAAACACAGUCAUGAAGGCGGAUUUAGUAGUAAAAAGAAAAUAGAGUGUUCUUUUUAAUUAGGCGCUGGGACGCGUACACACCGCCCGUCACCCUCUUCAAACGCAACCAUUAUGUUAAUAACACCAAACUGCACUACAGAAGAGGUAAGUCGUAACACGGUAAGCGUACUGGAAAGUGCGCUUGGAUAA